rnacentral:tRNA from 1 species
CCUGGUGGCUUAGACAGUAAAGCGUCUGCCUGCAAUGCAGGGGACCUGGGUUCAAUCCCUGGGUCAGGA